CCACAUCUCUCCACAGAGCGGCGGCGGCUGCGCCGACGCAAGCCGAUGUAGGCUUGUCAGCGUCUUCUCCUUCCAUUCUUCUCCACCGGCCGACUGUCCACAUCCUUCUCCUCGUGCAGUCGUGCUCCUACUUCGCACCACUUCUUCUAUGGCAGCGCUAGAGAACCAGAUACUACGUGCUUAAGAGAUAUUAAUCUGGGAAAGAAACGUCACUUUGGGGCCGAGUUGCUGUCGGGAGUGGCGACAGAAAUCUUGACCAACUGAUGAAGGAUGUGGGGAGGCCGAUUCAGUGUGCUUUGCGGUCCGUUGCCUGAUGAAGAGAACCAUGGCUCUUUUGGUGGGCUGGUAGUCGUUUGCUCUCGUUUUUCUGUACACACGUUCUGUGUGUAAACAUAAUAACUCUUGUGCGUUGAACUGAUGAUCAGCUUCUAUGUUAGCCAAUAAUCGGUGGUCAUUACAAAUUUACAAUGAAAUGAAGUUGGGUGUGAUGGGCAUUA